CCUUGCUCACCGAAAUCUCGGCAGAAUCCGAAAACGAUAACUACGAAAACCUUCGGCAAUAACUUGUUUAUUAGCCCGCGCUCCCUACGAGGGGUUCAGAGUUGAGUUCGGAAAUCCGACUAAACUCUCCGAAUAGCAGCACGCACAGACCUAGUCCGGUCUUACUUGAAGGGCUAAGGCCCGACCUCAGUGCCUGGGGACUUUCCUAAAGGCUAAACGUGAUGACUUCCACGACUCUCAGAUCCGAGUUAUAGGACUUAAAGAAAUUUUCUAAAAAACCUAAGACUUGGAGCUCCCUUCGGUCGGAAUGACUGGAAUCCGAGAAGGCUAAGGCGUAGCCCGGGAAAAAGGGGCAACUUCGUUAAGCAGCCCGAAAAUUAAAUUACAAAGUUAGAGGUCGUCAAGGCGGUUAGCUAAGGCUCUAGCCUCAUCCACAACAACAGAGGGAAAGAUGAACACAGAAUGACAAAAAUAUUUUUUCAUUGACAAAGGGCCGGAAGGCCAAUUACAAAAUUGGAAGUCGG
rnacentral:lncRNA from 1 species